UUGACCUCGGAUCAGGUAGGAUUACCCGCUGAACUUAAGCAUAUCAAUAAGCGGAGGAAAAGAAACCAACAGGGAUUGCCCCAGUAACGGCGAGUGAAGCGGCAACAGCUCAGAUUUGGAAUCUGGCCUUCGGCCCGAGUUGUAAUCUGGAGAGGAUGCUUCUGGCGCGGUGCCUUCCGAGUUCCCUGGAACGGGACGCCGGAGAGGGUGAGAGCCCCGUACGGUUGGACACCUAGCCUCUGUGAAGCUCCUUCAACGAGUCGAGUAGUUUGGGAAUGCUGCUCAAAAUGGGAGGUAAAUUUCUUCUAAAGCUAAAUAUUGGCCA
rnacentral:rRNA from 1 species